CGGCACGGGUGAGUAACACGUAUCCAACCUGCCGUCUACUCUUGGACAGCCUUCUGAAAGGAAGAUUAAUACAAGAUGGCAUCAUGAGUCCGCAUGUUCACAUGAUUAAAGGUAUUCCGGUAGACGAUGGGGAUGUGUUCCAUUAGAUAGUAGGCGGGGUAACGGCCCACCUAGUCUUCGAUGGAUAGGGGUUCUGAGAGGAAGGUCCCCCACAUUGGAACUGAGACACGGUCCAA
rnacentral:rRNA from 1 species